rnacentral:rRNA from 1 species
CCUACGGGUGGCUGCAGUGGGGAAUAUUGCACAAUGGGCGCAAGCCUGAUGCAGCCAUGCCGCGUGUGUGAAGAAGGCCUUAGGGUUGUAAAGCACUUUCAGCGAGGAGGAAGGCACCAUACUUAAUACGUGUGGUGAUUGACGUUACUCGCAGAAGAAGCACCGGCUAACUCCGUGCCAGCAGCCGCGGUAAUACGGAGGGUGCAAGCGUUAAUCGGUAUUACUGGGCGUAAAGCGCACGCAGGCGGUUUUUUAAGUGAGGUGGAAAGUCCCCGCUCUUCACGGGGGAACUACAUUUGAAACUGGCAAGCGAGAGGUCUGUAGAGGGGGGUAGAAUGCCAGGUGUAGCGUGAAAAUGCGUAGAGAUCUGGGGGAAUACCGGUGGCGAAGGCGGCCCCCUGGAAAAAGACUGACCCUCAGGUGCGAAAGCGUGGGGAGCAAACAGGAUUAGAUACCCUUGUUGUC